CCCCUAGAUGUUCUGGGCCGCACGCGCGCUACACUGAUUCAUGCAACAAGUUUUGUCCUUGGCUGAUAGGCCUGGGUAAUCUUUGAACGUGAAUCGUGAUGGGGAUAGAUGAUUGCAAUUAUUCAUCUUCAACGAGGAAUUCCUAGUAAACGCAAGUCAUCAGCUUGCAUUGAUUACGUCCCUGCCCUUUGUACACACCGCCCGUCGCACCUACCGAUUGAAUGGUCCGGUGAAAUCUUCGGAUCUGAGAGAUGUCUGAUUAAUUUCGGACGCCUUUUGGAAGAGUUGCUUAAACCUUACCAUUUAGAGGAAGGUGAAGUCGUAACA
rnacentral:rRNA from 1 species